rnacentral:rRNA from 1 species
UAGGGAAUCUUCCGCAAUGGGCGAAAGCCUGACGGAGCAACGCCGCGUGAGUGAAGAAGGUCUUCGGAUCGUAAAACUCUGUUAUUAGGGAAGAACAAAUGUGUAAGUAACUAUGCACGUCUUGACGGUACCUAAUCAGAAAGCCACGGCUAACUACGUGCCAGCAGCCGCGGUAAUACGUAGGUGGCAAGCGUUAUCCGGAAUUAUUGGGCGUAAAGCGCGCGUAGGCGGUUUUUUAAGUCUGAUGUGAAAGCCCACGGCUCAACCGUGUGGGGUCAUUGGAAACUGGAAAACUGGAGUGCAGAAGAGGAAAGUGGAAUUCCAUGUGUAGCGGUGAAAUGCGCAGAGAUAUGGAGGAACACCAGUGGCGAAGGCGACUUUCUGGUCUGUAACUGACGCUGAUGUGCGAAAGCGUGGGGAUCAAACA